AGCUUGGGAAUAACUUAUCAUAUAAAUAGGGAUUGAUCCCUAUUUCGGAACCAACCUCCUAGAGACUACCCGCAUAAGUGUAUUCCUCUUGAUAACGAAUUCCUUGAUCAAGACUUGAAGGUAUUAUGGAGAAACCACCAAGUUGAAGAAGCGACGGAUGAGCAAGAAGAUAAUUUUAGGAAAUUGUAUUUCCAUGUUCGAAUAAUAGUUGAGAAUCUGGGGACCAGAUUCUUUUAAGGAGGGCAGAGUGUAACACCCCGUAAAUAUGUAAGUUGUUUAAGUCUGGGGAUAAUUGAAUUUAUUUAGUUGAUAUGUGUCGAUAUGGAAUUAUAAUAUAUCUCGAAUUUGAUGGGAAGUGUAGAAUUGUAAUUAUCUAAACUUAUGGCAUCUAUUUGGUAAUUAAGAAAACUAUUUGGCCCUAUAAGCUAAUUUUAGAAUUUACAAGUGAGAUAAGAACCAACGUGUACUUCGUCUAUUCUAAUUCCUUCUUUGGCCGCCACGUUUCUUCUUCUUCUCUCACCUUCUCACCGUUUCUCUCUCUCUCUCUCUCUCUCUUCUAUAUUGAUUCUUGGCUGAAAUCCCCAAUUCAUAUUAUCAGCAUAAUCGGGGCUGCGUGGAUGCCUUAGCAAAGGGUAUUAAUGAUCAGCUCAUAUCAUUAGAAAUAUUGGGAAGUCAGAUUUAUAGUGGUGGUGGUCUCCAGCAGCAGUCGCCGGCGGUGGUGGCUGGAAUCCGACAAAGAAGACGAGCUGUCCAGAAUUUCAAUUUCAUAGUUUUGCCUUUUCCGUAAAUCAAUUAAACGGAGGUCUUAAAGAUGGAGCAUCGAUGAUCCGAAGGUACCGUUCGAAACCUUAAUAAGUUAGAUUUCCAGUGGUGGUGGUUCUUGAUUGUCUACAUCAGCGGUGGUCAUCGGAAUUGGCUAGAACUUCAGCUCGCUCGUUGAAACGAAGGGAAGCAAAAUCUGCUGCCGCACCUGUUUUCGGAGCCGAAAUCGAAGGGUUUCGAAUGCGAAUUUGGAAUCGGUUCCUUCAGGAAACUCGUAGAGGACAUCGUAAACUAUAAGUGUUGAGCAUAGUAAAGCUCUCACUCAAGGUUUAAGCUUAAUGAUGCUUCUAUAGCACUAGCGUUGGACUCCAGGUGAGAAACUAUGACUCCUUAUCCAAUUUCUUUCCUGCGCAUAAUAUCUCCUUUGUUUGAACCGAAUAUUUUGUACAUAUUGAAGCCUUUGAUACCUUUAUUAUAUUUGUUCUUGAAAUAUGAUCCUUAAUGUUCUGCGAGCAUAUUGUUUUCUUGGCUCGAACUUGGAGCCUUGAUCUUGUUCUUGAAAUCUUGAACUUGUCAAUUCUCUUGGUUGCUAUGUUCACGGCUAAUUCCUAUACUUGAUUCCCUGGCCUGAACAUUUUCCUUGAAUCGAUAUUGAACUAUAUUUAUUCUCAAAAUCUUGUCUUGAAUGCUUUCCGAGAAUAAAUAUUUUGUUGGCUCGAACUUGAAUCUCAUGUUUAUUGAAUUCAUUGAGAUCCUGAUAUACUCGUUCUUGGAACCUGACAUGGAACUUAUUGUUCUUCUUGAAUUGCAUAUUCACGACAAUUCUUUCAUUGGCUUGAACUGAAUUCUCGAACAUGUUCAUUAUCCUGAGACUUGAUGUUCGAUUAUCGUGAUCAUGACUUAUCUGGUGAAUGAUUGACUUGAUUCUUGAAAUGAAUGACUUGAUAUUCCUAAAAGGAAUAAUAUUGAUUCUUGAACCUACUGUCCCCACCCUUGAGGACGCUCUUGGGGGAGCUGGGCCCUAGGACCAUUUCGGCAAGACGAUCGGGCAGUAUUGGGCUGACGAUGACUGGUCUCCCGAAUGGUACCUCCUGAUGGUUCGGACUCACGUUCGUUUGGAGUUAAACGUUCCUGAGCCGGAUCGGCACGUUCCGGUCGUGCCUCUUGCCUGUUUCCGACCGAGUGGCCACUCGGGACGGAUUGGAGGGAUAAGGAGGUGAUAUGAUUUUAUUUGUUGGGAGUUACAAGGUUGGAGAUCCCACCAAAUAUUGAACUCAAGCCGUACAUGUUACACUCUUGUACAUGUUACACUUCUGUUAAUGAAAUUCUUGUAAAGUCUCUUGUUAUAUGUUCUGUUCUGUUGAUUCUCAUCAUACUCAUGGAUCAUAUGUUUUUCACUAAGUCAUUCGGACUUAUUCGUUUCUCCUUUCUGAUAUUAAUGCGCAGGUAAAAGAAAGACUUAGACCUAAAUUUUUAUACCAAGUGCUAAAGCUCGUGUAUGCCUCCGAUUAGUCUCGUCGAGAGGUAUCUCUAAUUAUGUUCCGUAUAGGAAUCCUUUGAUCGAGAAUUUUGUAAUAGAGUAAGUGGUGUCGAAGUCGACUUGUAAUAGAACCUCCUUUUGUAAACACGAUGGUAUAGAUAUUGGGGGUUUAAUGUUUUGAUCAUCGAAA